rfam:Rattus norvegicus chromosome 11, whole genome shotgun sequence.
GGGGAUUUGGCUCAGUGGUAGAGCGCUUGCCUAGCAAGCACAAGGCCCUGGGUUCGGUCCCCAGCUCUG